rnacentral:rRNA from 1 species
CCUACGGGGGGCUGCAGUGGGGAAUAUUGCGCAAUGGGGGAAACCCUGACGCAGCAACGCCGCGUGAAGGAUGAAGGUUUUCGGAUUGUAAACUUCUUUUGUCGGGGACGAACAAAUGACGGUACCCGAAGAAUAAGCCACGGCUAACUACGUGCCAGCAGCCGCGGUAAUACGUAGGUGGCGAGCGUUGUCCGGAAUUACUGGGUGUAAAGGGCGUGUAGGCGGGUUGUCAAGUCAGAUGUGAAAUUCCAAGGCUCAACCGUGGCGCUGCAUCUGAAACUGAUGAUCUUGAGUACUGGAGAGGAAAGUGGAAUUCCUAGUGUAGCGGUGAAAUGCGUAGAUAUCAGGAGGAACACCAGUGGCGAAGGCGGCUUUCUGGACAGUAACUGACGCUGAGGCGCGAAAGCGUGGGGAGCAAACAGGAUUAGAUACCCUUGUAGUC